UAGGGAAUCUUCCGCAAUGGGCGAAAGCCUGACGGAGCAACGCCGCGUGAGUGAUGAAGGUCUUCGGAUCGUAAAACUCUGUUAUUAGGGAAGAACAAAUGUGUAAGUAACUAUGCACGUCUUGACGGUACCUAAUCAGAAAGCCACGGCUAACUACGUGCCAGCAGCCGCGGUAAUACGUAGGUGGCAAGCGUUAUCCGGAAUUAUUGGGCGUAAAGCGCGCGUAGGCGGUUUUUUAAGUCUGAUGUGAAAGCCCACGGCUCAACCGUGGAGGGUCAUUGGAAACUGGAAAACUUGAGUGCAGAAGAGGAAAGUGGAAUUCCAUGUGUCGCGGUGAAAUGCGCAGAGAUAUGGAGGAACACCAGUGGCGAAGGCGACUUUCUGGUCUGUAACUGUCGCUGAUGUGCGAAAGCGUGGGGAUCAAACAGG
rnacentral:rRNA from 1 species